GAUGAAGAACGUAGCGAAAUGCGAUACGUAAUGUGAAUUGCAGAAUUCAGUCAAUCAUCGAAUCUUUGAACGCAUAUUGCGCUCUCUGGUAUUCCGGAGAGCAUGCUUGUUUGAGUAUCAGUAAACACCUCAACUCCCUUUUCUUUUUUGAAAUUGGAGCUGGACUUGAGUGAUCCCAACGCUUUCUUCCAAGAAAGUGGCGGGUUGCUUGAAAUGCAGGUGCAGCUGAACUUUUCUCUGAGCUAUAAGCAUAUCUAUUUAGUCUGCCUAAAAAACAGAUUAUUACCUUUGCUGCAGCUAACAUAAAGGAGACUAGUUCUUGUGCUGACUGAUGCAGGAUUCACAGAGACAGCUUCGGCUGACUUUGUAAACUCGAUCUCAAAUCAAGUAAGACUACCCGCUGAACUUAAGCAUAUCAAUAAGCGGAGGA
rnacentral:misc_RNA from 1 species